rnacentral:rRNA from 1 species
GAUGAACGCUGGCGGCGUGCUUAACACAUGCAAGUCGAACGGUGAAGCCAAGCUUGCUUGGUGGAUCAGUGGCGAACGGGUGAGUAACACGUGAGCAACCUGCCCUGGACUCUGGGAUAAGCGCUGGAAACGGCGUCUAAUACUGGAUAUGAGCCUCUUCCGCAUGGUGGGGGUUGGAAAGAUUUUUUGGUCUGGGAUGGGCUCGCGGCCUAUCAGCUUGUUGGUGAGGUAAUGGCUCACCAAGGCGUCGACGGGUAGCCGGCCUGGGAGGGUGACCGGCCACACUGGGACUGAGGCACGGCCCAGACUCCUACGGGAGGCAGCAGUGGGGAAUAUUGCACAAUGGGCGAAAGCCUGAUGCAGCAACGCCGCGUGAGGGAUGACGGCCUUCGGGUUGUAAACCUCUUUUAGCAGGGAAGAAGCGAAAGUGACGGUACCUGCAGAAAAAGCGCCGGCUAACUACGUG